rnacentral:rRNA from 1 species
GACGAACGCUGGCGGCGUGCUUAACACAUGCAAGUCGAACGGAAAGGCCCUGCUUGCAGGGUACUCGAGUGUCGAACGGGUGAGUAACACGUGUGUGAUCUGCCCUGCAUUUCGGGAUAAGCCUGGGAAACUGGGUCGAUUACCCGAUAUGAGCCAUCUUUAUGGUGGGGGUUGGAAAGUUUUUUCGGUGGAGGGUGGGCUCGCGGCCUAUCAGCUUGUUGGUUGGGUAAGGGCCUACCAAGGCGGCGUCGGGUAGGCGGCCUGAGGGGGUGGACGGCCACAUUGGGACUGGGAUACGGCCCCGACUCCUACGGGGGGCAGCAGUGGGGAAUAUUGCACCAUGGGCGCGAGCCUGAUGCAGCGACGCCGCGGGGGGGAUGACGGCCUUCGGGUUGUAAACCCCUUUCGCUAGGGACGAAGCUUUUUGUGACGGUACCUAGAUAAGAAGCACCGGCUAACUACGUG